rnacentral:lncRNA from 1 species
AUUCAGGGGACAGUGCCUGCGAGGACAGCGUGUUGGCUGGUCCUUGUGAAGUCAUGUGGGCACCACUAGUGAAUAAAAAGAACUGAAAACCAUCAAGAAUGAAAACUUGGUGUGAGAGCCAGAGACCUUCUGGAAGCUUCCAGAGAGACCCCAUCUCCUGUAGUUGGGGGAUGCAGCAGCUAGGAGCAGACAGGAUUUGAGAGCAGGAACCACAGAGCUUGGGAGAGGCUGGAUCAGGCAGGCUUAUAGCACCAAGGUAAGGGCCCUGCUCAGACGACCUGGGACCCUGGACUCUGGUGAAGGUGAAUGAACAGAGCCCUGGGGAUAUGUCUAUCCCUCAGAGCAGGAAGAGGUGGCCUACCCUUCACUGGUGGGAACUGCUGCCAACCCAGGCUGGAGGACACUGCAAGGUCUCUGCCCUGCAAGGUAACGGACACCACCCCCUUGAAAGCUGCUCCCACCCCUGUUCCUGGCCGGUGAUCCCUGUCUUAUCUCCAUUCAAUCUGUCAGUCUGGCCCCUACAGAAACCAGAUGGUUUCUAGAGAAUGAGGUUUGAGGCUGUGGUCUGAAUGUUGGUGUGCCCCAAAUUCACAUGUUGAAAGGCUAACCCCCACGAUGAUAGCUUCAGGGAUAGGGGCCUCCAGGAGAUGAGUGGGAUUAGUGCUCUUCUAGAAGAGCCCCAGGUGCCCAUUUAUACCAUCUAUGAACCAGAGAGGUUCACCAGACACUGAGUCUGCCAGCCUUGGCCUUGAACUACUCGGCUUUCUCAGAAGUGGGAGAAAUAUGUCCCUCUUGUUUAUGAGUCACCCAGUUCAUAGUAUGUUGUAACAGCAGCCUGGACAGACUACGACUAGAGGCUCAAUCAAGAGAUAGCUCCAGUUGCAGCUGCUGGAGCAGUUUUCUACAUGCCAUCUGCAGAACCAGCUUGGUGGCAAUACUUUGAAAGGCCUCUAAAUGGUGCUGUGUCCCCAAAAGGAAGAAUACACAGGUCUGGGAACAAAAGAUGAAAGCCAGAAGGAGUCACUUUCCAUUGCUCCCAGUGAAUGAGUGGGGCAUUCCGUGCUGGACUCUGUCUGUGCGGCUGAGGGUCCCAUUGGGCUGGAAGCCAGGGCUGUUCUGAGAUUAGAAUACUUGGACUCCAUGUGUUCAGGAACCACCGGGCAAGAAGGGGAGCCACAUAUUGUCAGGGGUAGUUGAGUCGGAUCAGCAGGAGGAGAUCAGGCAGCUGCUACCCAGUGCAGGAAGAGGAGAGAAACCAGAAGCCACGCUUGGUCUACUUGGGUGCAUCUUGUGGUUUCACUAUGAGGGGACACACACAAGCCUGCACGAGAAGAGUGUGCUUAUCAAGGACUCAGGGGCCUUGGGAAUGGAGGUCUGGGUCACAUCAACAGCUUAGCCACCAGAAUCUGCUGAAGAGGUAGUAUGGCAAGGGGAUUUGGGGAUGGAUGAGGAGAGAUGAGUACCGGUGGUGGCCCUAAAUUUGCCCUAGCAACAGGGGCCCCAUCUUCAGGAGGAGAGCCUUACCGAGUCAUGGAGAAGCUGCUCCCUGAACCUGGAUGGAUGAGAAGAUCUCUCAUUGUGGGGGUGCACCACGGCAGCUGUGCACACAUGGCUCAGAUACCCCACAGUGGGACCAUGGUGGGCUGCAGCCCUACCUGCUGCUCCAUCCUCCAAGGUCAUGGGGGUGACUCAUCUGCUUCUAACCUGGGCUCUCUGUGCUCAUAAGGCUGAGGAGUUGGAAGCCUCUCUCCUUGAGGGUAAGGCUGUGUCCCUCUCCCUUCUCUUGCAGACAUGAGCUUUGAAUCCUCUGAAGUCCUCCCUAAGAUCUAGCCUAGAUCCACAGGUUCUACAAAUGGUACCUGCUGCCUGACUUCUAGCCCAGAAACCUUGGCAGACAUGAAGGGGAGCUAUGGUCUUAGCACUCUGGAGUGUUUGUGCAGCAUGAACCUGGUCCACACAAAGAGAAGCUUGGGCACACUCAGGCUAGGAGGAGGAGAUCAGGCUGAGUUUGAAGUGGACUGGAACUCACAGCCCACUUUAAACUGAGUUUAAAGGAACCUUAAGUUGGUGACCCCAAGGCUCCCUGCAGUUUCCCAGCUCCUCUAUUCCCAAAGUCCUGCCUUGGUGAAUGGUGCAUGCUCUGCCACACUCUUUCUCACCACUUGUUGAGAAGGAGAAUUGAUGACAACAUCAAUAAUGUGACUUGUAUACAAGCAGCACUGACAACAAACCAGAGUACAGGGGAUAAAUCCUUCCCCGGCCCAGUAAUUGCUCUGUAAGCCAAAAGGAAUUACUUUCUUGGCAACAGCAACAGAGCCUCCCUGGGAUGCCAGGGUUUCCCUUCCCCUGGGGACCUCCACACACCACCCCACAGGCCAUUCUUACAAGCAUCUGUCACAUGGCCCAGGGCUCAUGUAGGACCCCGUGGGGCAGAUGCUCUCCUUGACCCAUCAUCUGGCCCCUCCUGCCUGUGGCUGGUGGAUAGAGGUGGCUCCCUCUGCCCUGUGCCCCAAGAGGCUGUUGAAUGGUUAACCUUAUCUGGGGACUUCAUCAAUCCAACUUGGGCACAGCCCAAGGAGGGACGGCUGAUGGGGAGGAGGAAGCAUAGCCCUUUGCUGGGCCUGAGGCUCAGAUGAGGGAGGAGGUGGGGACAGGAGGGAUUUCUAGGGGGGGCCUUCAGAGGGGAUGCUGUCUUUGGGCUAGGGCUGCCAGUCACGGCCUGACUCCUCCUAUGUCCCCAGGGAGGGCUGUGCGUGCCAGGCUGAGGGGGCGGUGUCAGAGAGUGGGAUGGGGAACUUGUUCUUGGGGACUAGGGCCAGCUGCAGCUGUCCCCUUAUAUCUCUGCGAUUUCAUGCUGAGCCUGGGCCCACUCUUCAGGGGGUCCCACUGGAGUCUUUCCAAAUUGCUAACCUCCAUCAUAUUCUUUUUGCAUGCCUCGGCCCCAACUCCUUCUUCCUGUUCCUUCCUCCCACAGCUCUGAUGAGUAAGGUGAUGGACUCUUGACUAGAGGCUGAAGGAGAGGCUGAUUUGGCAAACCCUGGGUGGGGCACAGCUUUCUCUGUACCGGAAACAGUGGAUCUCCCCCUUCCAUUCGACCUUGCCCACUUUCAGGGCUACCUGGCCUGCUCUCUGGGCAACAGGCAGCUGACCUGGGCUCUGAGGCUGCAGAGGGCUCCACAUUCCCUGAGUUGCCACCUGUGGCUCUGGGCUUCUUUGUCUUCAGGUGAAGUCCCCACACCUCUGCUCCUCACGGUGGCUACGGCAGGGUCAGUGCCUGCACUUGGGAGCCAGAAGACCCUGGGCUUUUCCUAGUCGCUCACUGGGGAUUCCUGGGCAAGCUCCUAAUGUCAUGGAGUUUCAGUUUCCUCAUCUACCCAUGGGGGCAAUGAGAGACUUAUCAUAGAGAUUGCUGUGAGAGCAGAGAAACGGAAUUGUGUUUGAGAAGCAGCCUGCAAGGUGCCUGGUGUGUGGGUGCUCUGCACAACUGUGGUCUCUUUUGUUGGGGUCCGUGGGCCACACGGUGCAGACUGGGCCAUGCUCUAAACCCUCAGAUGGGAAAUGGAGUGGUCAGGGCUUGUCUGAGGAGUGGGCUUUGUGUCCACAGUGAGUUCCAGCCCACUUUCAAGUUGACCAGCUGGGGGUCUUUCGCCUCUGCAUAUUAUCAGAAGGCAGAGGCCAGGCUGGUCUUGUGGGCCAGCACCCUGGAAGGGAGAGCCAUCUCCCCGGGGGAAGGAUUUGGCACUUCAGUGGGCCUUAGAAGGCACUUUCCGCCAAGAGGGAGGAUGGCUGUACUGUGGAGACAAAGGCCCGGCUCACCCACCAGUGCCAGGAGAGAGGGUGUUAUCUUUAGGCCCAGGCGCUCUGGCCUGGGUCUCUGGGCUGGCAGCAUAUGGGUACCACCCCCAAGCCCCAUGCCUGCUGGAAGGAACAGGGUGUGGGCAGAGGUGGCAGCCAUUCAAGUGGACGGUGGCCCUCUGAGCAGCUGGGAGUGGGGCCAGGAGGAGGGCUGUGCUGGCUUCCUGGUGGUCUUUGGCAGGACUGGGAACUGGGGUUCAGGGUGCAGAACGGAGGGAGGGAGCUUGGGGGAGGAAGAGCUGGGCGUCAGGUAGGGCUCAGCCUCCACAGAAGCCCCACUCUCCCACUGUUCUGCCCACUGUGCAGCACCCCUGUGCCCAGGGCACCUGAGCGGUUCCACCCCCGGGUAGAGGUUUCCUUCUAUGGUGGGCUUCCUGUGCCCACCCUGCCCUGGCCUCCUCAGCCUCCUUUGCCCUCUCUUCACCUAAGGCAGCUGAGCACAUGGCCAGGCGGGUGCAGCUGGGCUGGGGGCACUCUUCUCCCUGCUCAGUUCUCCUUACCAAGGGGCGGUAGGAGGGGGAGACGCCCAGGUCGUAGUAGGGCGGGUGCAGGGGCAGCUUCGGCCGUUCCUCUUCCUGCUGCUGCCUGCCUGGUUCCAGAUGGGGACUCUGGAAGAGAAGGAGAUGAGUGCUGCCGUGGCCUGCUCCAGGCAGCCCACCACACCCACGUCUGAUUAGGACUCCCUUCCUCGGGUCCUGGGCAUCCCAUGGGCACCACCUACACGGUGGCUAUCUGGGAGGGCGCACCUUGAGCCUUUAGUGUCACUUCCUCUACCAGGGACCAGCACAGGCCAGGCAACUGGCAGGGACCCAAUGAACAUUUCUUUUUUUUUUUUUUUUUACUUUUUAAAGACAAUGUUUUAUUUCUUGCAUAGGAUAUAUUGUCUUUGUCAUUUAAAAAAUCAGUUUUAUUGAGGUAUAUGUUUAUUAUGAUAGAACAUACCCAUUUUAGAGAAGUCAUCUUAAAAAAAUCACUGGAAAAAAUUAUGUCAAUAGAUAUCAAAUAGUCUUCAGUUAAAAUGUUCCAGGUAGUGGUUCCUAUAGCUUAUUUUUCUGGUAGAGCAAACCGGAUUCUUUCUUUCUUUCUUUCUUUUUUAUUUAUGAACAUUGUUUAAAAUGAAUAAAUGGACUAAGAGGUGGGGGAAGAGAUCCCCUAGGGGUCCUGGGUAGGUGGAGUCCUGGGCAGGGAGGGUCUUAAUUUGCCAUCUCUUGGGGUGAGGGGCAGGUUGUCGGCCUGGGCCUGGCUUAUGCUGGUGUGAUAGCUGUGUCCAGAUUGGGCUCCCUUCCUGGGUCAUCUCCCAUUUUUUUCUCCCUGUCCCCCUAGUCUAGGGAACUUGUUCUCUGCUGCCCUAGGCCUACCUGGAUGUCCUCAGAUGCAAGGUGGCUCUGACUGUUGGGAGGAGGCUCCAGCUUCUGGGAGGGGGACAGGUCAGUCCUGGGAGAAUAGAUGAGGUUGAGAUCAGCACAGGGACUUAUAUGGGGGUCCCUGCCGCAGCCAGACUUCCUGACCACUACUGGUCCCUGAGCCCAUCAAGAUAGGCCCCGGGAAGCCCCCAGAGUGGCCAGAGUGGGACUGUGGUGACUCAGCGUCGGUGGUAGAGGCCAAGGGUGACCUGCUAUGUGUCCACUCUAGCCCAGCAGCUUUGUAGUAUGGGAGUCACGGGAGUGAAUAGCUCUAGCUCCAGGGGACAUUAGGAAAUCCAAGGGAUAAACCCGGGGCCAGGGGAAUAAGGCUCCACAUGCAAGGUAUAGGACACCCAAAAUCUUAGCCAUCAUGAUAAAUAAUAUUUAAAGCAGUAUUUUUCAAAAAAUUAAUGCAAAAUCCAUGAUGAACUAAAUAUCAACAUUUUAAAUAAAGACAGGAUCAGUAAUGGUGGCGUGCUGAGCCAUAUUAUAGCCUAAGGCAAAAGGAAAAAAAUCAGUAAUUCUAAUCCUCUCUCUAUUUACAAUGUUGAUAUUUUGUUCAUCAUGGAUUCUUUUUUUGCCUUCAUUGUGAUCUUUAAAAAUGCAUUAAAGCUGGGCGCCAUAGCACACACCUCUAGUCCCAGAUACUGAGGAAGGAGGGUUUCAUGAGCCCAGGAGUUGAAGGCCAGUCUGGACAAUUUAGCAAGACCCUUUCUUUAAAAUGUUAUUUAUGGGGUGAGUUCUCUCUCUCUCUCUCUCUUUUUUUUUUUUUUUUGAGUACCAGGGAUUGAACCCAGGGUGCUUAACCACAGAGCCACAUCCCCAGCCUUUUAAUUUUUUAUCUGCAGACAGGGUCUUGCUUAGGGCCUCACUAAGUUGCUGAGGCUGACUUUGAACUUGUGAUCCUCCUACCUCCUAGCCUCCUGAGCUUCAGGGAUUAGAGGUGUGUGUCACCGCCCGGCAUGAGUGAGGUUUUCAGCUCCCCCAUUAACUGUAUGCUUCACUGGCCUCUCUGGCCCUCAGCCUGCCCUAUAACUUGGGAGGAGGUAAAAUCAUGCAAGUUAUUUAACCUCUUUGUGCCUUUUAUUCCUCAUCUGUGGGUAAUUGUGCACUUAUUUCUUCAAGUUGUCACGAGGACAAAAUACAUCUACAUGGGGCCUGGGGUUGUGGCUCAGUGGCAGAGCACUUGUCUAGCAUGUGUGAGGCACUGGGUUUGAUUCUCAGCACCAUAUAAAAAUAAAUAAAUAAAGGUAUUGUGCCCAUCACAAACAAACAAACAAAAAAACCUAUCUGUCCCAGUGUAGAACUCGGGGUGGCACCUGGUGUACGGUAGCGCUCUUGAGGGUUACCUUUUCCUGCACAGGUGAGGUAGGGAACCUGGCCGAUGAACAUGCUGAUGUUCAGGUGUUCAGUGACCCUGGGGCCCCUGGGGGUGGCUGGCCAGCACUCACCCAUCACUGCCCAUUUGCAGUCGGCUCUUCUGCUGCCGGCGGUACAGAAAGAAGACCGCGAGAGCCACGCUGAGGAUAAGGACCACGGCCACUGUGCCCCCCAGGAGCCUGGCCACACUUCCAGGGCCUCCCUGUGGGAGGGGCUUGUCUGGAACCAAGAGAUCAAGGAAGAAAAUCGGUGGGGGAGAAGGGUAGGAGGAAGAGAGAGAGGAAAAAGAGAGGGAGAGAGAGAUUGAUUCUCAACGGAACCAGGGAGUCAGUGAAGAGGGCAAAAUAGAGUAAAGUGAGAACAUCAGAUCCCGAUGCAGGACUCUGCCCUCCCCUGCUCCCCUCACUCUCCAGUUCCAGUUCUGGAGGGGCUGGCUGUCCAGUUAGUGGGGGCAGAACCUCAUCCUCUGGCUCCCAGAGCUGUAUCUGCAGACGGUGCUGUGAUCCUGGGAUCUGGGGUAUGGAGGUGGGUUGGGGUGGAGGGUCUAUGCCAGAAAUGGGGUCCCACCUUCUCAUUCCAUUUCUGGCUCUGCAGGGAAGACCCCUGUUGAGGAGCUUAAUUACCUUCCCCUCCCCACCCAAUUAAACACGCAAAUGAGCUCAUUGGAGCUUUGUCGACCCCUUUCUGGAGAGAGGAUGAGGAUCAUGAGGGGAAGUUGGGAGCGUGAGAUCAGGUGGAGAAGUCUCUUCAGUCAGGAGAGGCUGAAAACCUGGAAGGCUGUGGCCUGACCUGAGGUGGCAGAGCCCACCCUCUGGACCUAACUGGUCAUAGCACUGGGAGCCUUGCUCCCCGGGAGGGAGGAGGCUGGGGCGUGGGGCAACACCCCUCAACUGGCUCCUCAUGGGGCAAGUCACUUGACCUCCCUGGGCCUCCGAAAAGAGAGAAGAGGGCCCAGGACACUUGCUAGGGCUUGCUGAGCUCCUUCUCAGUCUGAUGGAGCCACCAGUCUGCACCAUGGCCAGGCGCCUGCACAGCUUUCCGCUUGUCCAGGUGUGGCGUGUGAAGCCACAGAGGUGCCAGGUCUUUUGUGUCCCUCCCUCUGCUGGGCUCCAUUUCUCACCUCUGACCUUUCCAACACCCAGGGAGGAAGGAACUGAGGAGAAAAUCAUAUGUACUCCUUCCUCAGCUUCCUCCCCACCACCAUAUUAUAUAUAAUUAAACACGGAGAGGACCUGAAUAGAGAUGCUAAAUUGCAGUUUGCAAUAAACACCAUGGAGCCAAUUUUCCUAAAGUGGGAUUGACAAGCACCUGCCUCUCUCUCACUCCUGACUCUCUCACUCCUCUCUCUCUCCCCUCCAACCCCCAGGUCCUGAGGAGGGCUUGUCUGGCAGAGACCUCAGCACAGCCUGGCUCCUGAGGUAUCUGUAGCCCCACCCUGGUCCUGGCUCCUGGUCAUUAGAGGGUGGCCUCUCAGCAGAAGCUCUGGCCUCAGCAUCCAUCCAUUCACCCACGUUGCUGAGCUGUGGCCCCACCGAGGGGGCCUUGUGUGGGUCACAGGUCCAGGCGCUGGGCUGUGGGUGGGUGUGCAGCAUAAGGAUUCCCAAGCCUCAGACUCCUCCUCACACCCUGCGCCUCAGCCUCAUUUUCCUCGUUCAGGGACCCCUGGGGCUGGGCCCUGCACACGGUUAAAUAACCUGUGUCCUUUCCUCUAAACCUGACAUCUUGUCACCCAUGGUCCUCUCUUCCAUACCCUCAGCAUUCCUGCUCUGCUCUGACUCUGCUGUCCCCUUGGCUUAGUGGACGACAUGCAUGGAGAACCAGCGAUGUUGCCGCCCCUAUUCUGGCCCUGGGUGCAGAGAUGCAGGAAGCACAGGCCUUGCCUCUGGAUUCCAUGACCUUCUUGAGUGGCUCCAACCUCCUGAACAGCUCCUGGGAGUGGCAACUCCUUCUGUCUCCAGGGUCACUACCCCCAUGUCACCUGAGUUGCUGCCACAGCCUAACCAGCCACUCUGUCUCCUCUGAGCUGCUCUCCACUCUCGAGGGUGGAUAGCAGCCCUGGAGCUGAGUGAUCUUUUCAAACUACAAAUCAGAUUGAGCUCCCUCCUUGCUUACAAUCCUCCAAGAGCUUGUGGUCCCAAGGUACCCCUCAAGAGGCCCCUCGAGAACUGCUCUCCGCUGGUGCUGGAAGAUACAUCCCAAUGCUGUCCCUUGCUGGCCAUGCUCUAGUCAGCCUGGGCCACCUACAGAUCCCCAAAGACAGGAGUCUCUGCUUCCUCGUCUGCUCAGGCGUGGUGGGAGCUGCUCUCUCUGCAAGGGUCUCCCUUUCUCCCCCUCUGCCAGGCCGAACCAUCUCCAGUUUAACCUGGACGCGCUUCCUCUGCUGCACUGGCUGUCCCCCUCUCUAACACCCCCUUUCCACAUCUUUUCUACAGACUGAGCCCCUGGUUGACUUGUUUGGCACUAUUCUGGGCAGGAAGGGCUGGGUGCUUGGUGAAUGAAUCCAGGUUUGGCUGAAGGAACUCCAGGGAGGGCAGCUCUGAGGGAGGGUCAGCAGAGCCUCUGGAAUCUCACCGUCCACCAGGGGGCGCGCUCAUCCUGAGGCCCCGGCCAACUCCUGUUUCUCUGGACACAACCCAAACUUAGAUCUCAGGUCCCUGCUGCCCGCUGAGGCAGGUUGGAAGUUCCAAAGGGUGGGUUGGGAGGAGCAGUGGGGAAAUGCACACACCCUGUCUGCCUCACAGAGUUCAGGUUUCUGUCCUACCAUGGCCAGCCCAACUCUGGGGGGUCAGUUCCUCUUCCUUGCCCUGGGGGCCAGGCAGGGGAGAGACCGAGUGAGCACUGAGGGCUGGGAUCUCAGCCCCAUAUCUACUCUCUGCUUCUGGGAACUCUCUCCUGGGCUUUCACUCAUCACCUUCUCUGAGGCCACUUUUGGGGCCACUAAACAAGAGAGGGAGGCAGCUGUCCUAAUAAGGGGCCUUAUACCAUCCUUACAGAGAAAACCAAAAAUACCUGAUGGGUGAGUUUGUGAAUGCACCGUGGGAGUUAGGGAAAUCAAGGGAAAAGAGGGGAGGGCCUCACAUGGAUCAGACCAGAACAACAGAGAACUCUGAACUAACUUCCUUCCUUCCUUCCUUCCUUCCCUUUUCCUUCCUUCCAUCUUUCUUUCUUCCUUCCUUCCUUCCUUCCUUCUUUCCUCCCCCCCCCCUUUUCAGUACUGGGGCUUGAAUCCAGGACUUCAUGCAUGCAUGGUAGAUAAGCACUCUACGACUGAGCUACAUCCCAGCUCCCCAUUACCUUCACAUUUAAACAAAAUAUUUUUUAAAUUUUUAUUUUGAAACAGGGUCUAGCUAGGUUGCCGAGGCUGACCUUGAACUUGACAUCCUGUUGCUUCAGCUUCCCCAGUUGCUGGAAUUAAGAACCCUGGUUUUGCUGAGUGCGGUGGUGCAACCCUGCAAUCCCAGCAACUGGGAGGCUGAGGAGAAUCUCAAGUUCAAGGCCAGCCUCAGCAACUGAGUGAGACCCUGUCUAAAAAUAAAACAUAAAAAAAGGGCUGGGGAUGUAACUCUGUGGUAACGUGACCCUGGGUUCAAUCCUUAGUACCCAAAAUUAAAAAAUUAAAAUAAAAAACUCUGUGUUUCACCUUCUCGAGUAUAACUUCCCUUGGAGCCUCUAGUUCCUGUCUGAUCCACCUGCAGGGUCCCACCCAGUGGAGGAAAUAAUCGUGGCAAGAAAAGGAGACACAGGGACAAAAAUGAGGAACACAAAAAGAAGCUGGCCUUAAGUGUGUGGUGUGCGAGGCUCUGGGCACCUUGGUUGAUUUGGGGUUUCAUGUCAAGCCUGCAAAAUUUGAUAAUUUUCUUCUCAAUGAGAAAAAUCAGGCUCAGAGAGGUGAAGCAAUUUGUUCAGGGUUGUCCAGCUGGUCAGCAGCAGAAUGAGCACUGCAACUGAGGUGUGUGAUGUGACUUUCCUUAGCUCAGGCUUCUGAGCCCCUGAGUGGGGGCUUCUUAGAGGUCCUGGCCCCUCACUCAGCAUGGACCUGCCAUCCUCUGCUCAUCUCUUUGCAGGCACAACUGUACCUACCCCUUUCCCUAAGCGGGGGCCCCUGGUUGCUUUGUCUCUGGGCCUCCUCUUGACAGCUGUGAGGAGGGGGACUGGCGCUGGCCCCAGCUGGAGCCCUGGCAUUGAGCCCCCAGACACUCUCUGGUUACACCGUGACAAAUCUGUUCCCCAAGUCCCAGCUCCACAGGAUUUAGGGCAGGGCCUGUCACCUGCAGGCAGCCGGGCAUGGCUGUGAGAAGGACCUGGGCCAGGGCUGGAGUCUAGGUUCUGAGAGGGGUGGGGAGGGCAUAUGAAGGAGGGGAGAGAGGCCUCCAGAAAGCAGUCCUGCUGCUGGACCCAGUCUUUACAUGGGUCCUCCGAGGCUGGCCAUGUGCCUUUACUCUGAGAAGGCUCAGAGAGGUCAAAUGAGCUAUCUAAAGUCCCAUGGCCAGGUCUGUCACAGCUGGACUUGGAUCCACGGUGACUUCUUUUGGGGGGGUCUGUCCCCUCCCAUCUUUAUUUUUUUUAUUGCUGUGCUGGUGAUUGAACCCAGGGGCACUGUACUAGUGGGCCAUAUCCCCAGACCUUUUUAUAUUUUUAUUUUGAGACAGGGCCUUGCUGAAUUCCCAGGUUGAUCUUACACUUACGAUCCUGCUGCUGAGGCCUCUCAAGUAGCUGGGAUUAGACCCACCGGGCCAGGCUGGCUUUCUUUGUCUUUCCCCCUUUUUUUCCAGUGCUGGGAAUUGGACCCAGGGGCUUGCGCAUGCCGGGUAAGCACUCUACCACUGAGCUACGCCCCAGCCCCCGGCUUUUGUGUUUUGAGAUGGUCUUGCUAUGUUGCCUAGGCUGGUCUCAAGCUCCUGGGCUCAAGCCAUCCUCCUGCCUCAGCCUUCUGAGUAGCUGGGACAUGGACGUGCACUGCCACACCUGGCUCAGUCCCUUUCUCCUGUCAUGUCGGGAGGCCUGACACCCUUUGUGGCCUCCCUGGAGAGCCUCUCUCCAGGGAGGGGCAGAGCGUGCUCUGUAUUGGCUCAGGCCCUGGGAUGGCCUCUGACCAAUGCCCUGGUGAUUCUGUUUGUCUCUGGGGUCAUGCAGGUGGCAUUCCUGAUCCUAAGUUUUCUCACCUGUCACAAGAUGACAAUGUGUAUUAUUUUCUCAUACCUCAGACUGAAAAAGUGAAAUCCACAGUUAGGGGAUCAACACUCUUUUCUUUGGUACUAGGGAUUGAACCCACGGCGCUUAAUGCCUAAACCACACACCGCAGCCCUAUUUAUUUAUUUAUUGGUGGUGCUGGGAUUAAACCCAGGGCCUUGUGCAUGCCAGGCAAACACUCUACCAACUGGGCUAUAUCCCCAGCCCAGCCCUUUUUAAUUUUUGAGACAGGGUCUUGCUAAGUUGCUUUGAGCCUUGCUAAGUUGCUGAAGCUGGCCUUGAACUUGAAAUCCUCCUUCCUCAGCUUCCCUGAGUCACUGGAUUUUAGGCGUGUGCCACCUUGCCUUGCCUGGGUUCCACAGCAAUGCCUCUUUCCUGCUGCUCCUGACUGGGGAAAGAGACCCUGCCUUUUUCAAGAGUCGGACUGACCAAGGUUCUCCUGGGGAUGGCUUCUCCUGAGCACCUCAGAGCAGCCAGUUGACCCUCUGUGCCAGUCUCUCCUGGAUGGAUCAUCUCCUGUGAGGCAGGCCAAAUAGGUGUUUCUGGGGAGCUUCAGGCUCCACCCCACAGGGUGUGGCCUGGAACUACCUUGGUGGGGAAGGGAGAAAGAGAGAACCUACAUUCUGGAGGGUGGGUGUUUUCACUUGAGGUAGGAUUGGCAGGAGGAAGAGCUGAUUUCACUGCCGCUGGUCCAAUGGGCAGAAUUUACUGGCCAUUUCUCCAACCCAGGUGUGCAGGACCGGCCUCCUUCCUGGUGGCCAGAGACUGGAGGAGGGCACUGAGCCCACUCUCAUCUGUCAAGAAGGUCUGAGGGCAGAGUCCAGCAGUCUCACCAGGGACCCCAGCCCUCCAAGUGCCAGGAAGAGGUGGGGAUUCCAAGCAUCAUUUUAGCAUCAUUGCUGUAUGAAAAUGCAGCUGGCGAACAGGGGACCUGGCUCACGGGGAGAGCAAGCUUCUGAUGGUACAGGCAACACCAAAAGGCUGCAGCGGAUGACAUUGCAGGGUGCUCGGGUGUCCAUCAUGGCCCUCCAUAUUCAGGGACCAACAGUGGCCAUCCCCACAGCCCAGUGGCCUUGGCCUUCAGACUCAGACCUCAGACUGUCCCCAUGUUAAUUCCCCAUCCUGGCCUCGUGCCAUCUCCCACUCCGCUGAGGUCCUGCUUGCUCUAAGUCCCCUUUCAAUUCUUUAUUCCCAGGAGAUGGCUGCUGCCCAGUCACACUUGAGGGUCGUAGGAAUUUCCUUCUCCCUGUUAGGAGUGGAUAUAUCCCUCUCCUUCCUGGUUCAGCCCAUGUAGGAGGGGACUCUUUCAUGGGCUUUCCUGAGACCCAGGGUGCCAAGGGAACCCCCCUAGAGGCCAGGCCUGAAAGAGUCACAGAACCCUUUCCUUGGUCUGUGUACCCAGUGACUGUGGGGCCUGGACACAGCCUCGCUCUGCUCUCUCUAUGAAGCUAGAGGCUAAGAGGCCUGACCCUCUACCUCAUAGCCUCAGGUGGCCUGGGCUAAUCCUCCUGCCUGUUUUGUCCCAGAGCCCCUGGCCCUGGUCACUGCCUCUGGCCUGGGUUGCACUUUAGCCUCGUGUCUCACUCGUGAGUCCUUCAGUGCAAAAAGCCUUUUCUCUGGCUAUAGAAGUCGCUCUGGUUCGGAACUUUGCAGUCACCUCUUUGGACCCCUGGCCUGGAGGCUGGCUCUGGGCUCGGCGGCUCCAGCCUCCUUUCCCCCUUGCCCCCGACUUCCGUCCAUUUCCUUUGCCUGGAUCAGGCAUAAAUUCUGUGAAGUGCUUAGCACAGUGCCUGGCACCCAGUCAAUAUGUAAUUAGUGGUUGCUAUUUUUGUCAUUGGCUAUUCAAUACAUAGAAAUUAAUAGUGGUGGUGAUGAAGUUGCUCAUAAUAGUGAUGUUGCUGCUGCUGCUGAUUGGUGAUGAUGACGAUGACGACGACAAUGACGUUGGUGAUAAUGUUAGCACUUCUCCCUUCCCUGAACGAUUGGAUUCUUCACCCAAGUGCCUCUUUGGACCAAAUUACAUCUGUGGCCCUAUUACCAUAAUAUCAAUUCUAUCUUAACAUAUGCCUUUACUUAAAUUAUCUACAUUGACAUCCCCAUUCCUUUGUCUCUGUUGAUAGAUGCAUAACAGGAGGCUCAGAGAAGGUUAGUGAAAUGCUCAAGGUCACACAGCUCAUUGAUGAUGGAGGUGAGAUAGGAAUCCUGGCUUCCUGAUUCCCUAUACAGCUCUGUGUGGCCUGGAGGAGCAUCCUGCCUGGGAUCAUUUCAUGCCCCUUGCAUUCUCCAUCUCUCAGUGCCUCACCAGAGGAAGACCAUCCAGAUCAAACUUGUAUUUGCCAUUUCCUUCCUCCCUCCCUUCAUCCCUUCCUUCUAUCCUUCCCUCCCUCCUUCCUUCUCUCUCUCUUUCUUUUUCAGGGAUUAAACCCAGGGGAACUUAACCUCUGAGCACAUCCCCAGCCCUUUUUCUUUUUUAUUUUGAGACAAGGUCUCACUGAGUUGCUUAGGGCCUUGGUAAAUUGUUGAGGCUGGCUUUGAACUCCUGAUCCUCCUGCCUCAGCCUCUUGAGCAGCUGGGAUUACAGGUGGGCGCCACUGCACCUGGCUCAGUUUGCCAUUUAAUUAGCAGGACUCUCAAACCCUAUGAGCCCCAGGGUCUCAUCUGGAAAAUGGGAAUAAGAACAGGAUGGUUGUGAAGGGUUGAUGAGGUAAUGCACAUCCCAGUCCUUAGCGCCUGCACAUAGUGCUUACUGAGGCUUGCUUUUGUAGAUGACUUGUGUCUGCUUCUUAGGCAGCUAUGCCUGUUGGCCUCUCUGACCCCUGCCCUCAGCUCUCCUUGGUACCUUUACAUGAUCCACAUGCCCCAACCUGGUCCCAGUGUGUGACCCCCUUGGGGAGGGUUGAGGACAGUUACUUUCCUCCUGGCCUGUGAUGCUCCCUCCAUCUGGAAUGCUCUCCCCAGUGUCACCAGCCCCUCCCCACCACCUCCCACCCAGCCCUUCACACCUUGAGUUGUCAUUAGGAGGGAGGAGGAACCCCUCUAAAGUCAGGCCCAGCUGCAGAGUGUUAAGGGGAUUUCACGCACAUUCCUUGGGGGAGAGGAACUAUCUCCCAGUCCUAAGUGUCCCCACCUCAAGCCUGCAGGAGGGAGGGGAAUGAGCCAGGGUUUCGCUCAGCCAGGUAUAGAGAGGACUGGGGGACUUGGGGAGGCCAUUUCUCUGCCAUGUGCCCAUCUCUCUCAUCCUAUUGGGCAAAACCCUGGUCCUGCUCCUCUGCCAGCUCCUGACUCUCCCCUCCCAGCUGGCCCCACAGAGUGCUUCCUUGAAUGGAGGAAGAAGAUCACAUCAGAGAAGGAAGACUAUCUGCCCCAUUUUCCGCUUUCCAGCAGUGUGACCUUCAUAGGCUGAGCCUCAGUUUUUCCUGUGUCAAAUGGAGAGAUGGUAGAAGUAAAUGUGGGGAAGCACGUGGAUUCCCUGGCGUGGAGUGAGCUCUGUGCGUCACAAGAGAGGGAGGAGCAGGAGGACUUAUUAGUCCUGAAAAGCAGAGUGUAUGGGGGCAGCAGGAGGUUUUGCAUUUGCUGUAUGGUGGUGGUGGUGGGCCAGCGGCCUGUGAGUUCCAGAUUCUUCUACUACCCGAAAGAUCCUCUUACCUUACCCGCCCUGCAGGGCCUCCUGGAGCUACCAUCUUGUGCUCGGCUGGAUUCUGGGCAGAGUAAAGGGCCCAAGCAAAGGAGCUCAGAACCAAACCUCACUGACCUAGGGUCAGAGUCACCGAGGAGCUGCCGAAACAAGUUCUAGGCCC